GACGAACGCUGGCGGCGUGCUUAACACAUGCAAGUCGAACGGAAAGGCCCUGCUUUUGUGGGGUGCUCGAGUGGCGAAAGGGUGAGUAACACGUGAGUAACCUGCCCUUGACUUUGGGAUAACUUCAGGAAACUGGGGCUAAUACCGGAUAGGAGCUCCUGCUGCAUGGUGGGGGUUGGAAAGUUUCGGCGGUUGGGGAUGGACUCGCGGCUUAUCAGCUUGUUGGUGGGGUAGUGGCUUACCAAGGCUUUGACGGGUAGCCGGCCUGAGAGGGUGACCGGCCACAUUGGGACUGAGAUACGGCCCAGACUCCUACGGGAGGCAGCAGUGGGGAAUAUUGCACAAUGGGCGGAAGCCUGAUGCAGCAACGCCGCGUGCGGGAUGACGGCCUUCGGGUUGUAACCGCUUUCGCCUGUGACGAAGCGUGAGUGACGGUAAUGGGUAAAGAAGCACCGGCUAACUACGUG
rnacentral:rRNA from 1 species